rnacentral:misc_RNA from 1 species
GAUGAAGAACGUAGUGAAAUGCGAUAAGUAAUGUGAAUUGCAGAAUUCAGUGAAUCAUCGAAUCUUUGAACGCAUCUUGCGCUCCUUGGUAUUCUGAGGAGCAUGCCUGUUUGAGUGUCAUUAAAUUCUCAACUACUCUGACUUUGAAUUGGUGUGGCUUGGAUUUGGGGGGAAAAUUGUUGUGGGCUUUUUGUAUAGUCUGCUCCCCUGAAAUUGAUUAGCGGUACCUUUGUGGAACUGUCUACAGGUGUGAUAAUUAUCUACAUCUUAGACAUCUGCUGGAAUGCUGCUUUCUAAACCUUACUUGUAUUGACAAUCUUGACCUCAAAUCAGGUAGGACUACCCGCUGAACUUAAGCAUAUCAAUAAGCGGAGGA